rnacentral:rRNA from 1 species
GACGAACGCUGGCGGCGUGCCUAACACAUGCAAGUCGAACGAGGCCACUCCUUCGGGAGUGAGUCGAGUGGCGGACGGGUGAGUAACACGUGAGCAAUCUACCCUGGUACGGGGGAUAACCCGGGGAAACCCGGGCUAAUACCGCAUGGGCAAGAGAUCCGAGUGGGUCUUUUGGGAAACGUGGCCUCUUAGCAAUGCUACGGUGCCGGGAGGAGCUCGCGGGCUAUCAGCUAGUUGGUGAGGUAACGGCUCACCAAGGCGGCGACGGCUACGGGGUCUGAGAGGACGACCCCGCACAUUGGAACUGAGACACGGUCCAGACUCCUACGGGAGGCAGCAGUGGGGAAUUUUGGGCAAUGGCCGAAAGGCUGACCCAGCGACGCCGCGUGCGGGAGGAAGCCUUUCGGGGUGUAAACCGCUGUCAGGGGGGACGAAAGCGGAGGCGGUUAAUCAUCGCCUCCAGUGACGGUACCCUCAAAGGAAGCACCGGCUAACUCUGUGCCAGCAGCCGCGGUAAGACAGAGGGUGCG